UUUUUCCUAACCUCAGUCCCCACUUUCACAUCCUGUAACCUGCAUUGCUGCCCCACCCCACCCUGCUGGGCUGGUCCCAGGUCCCAGGAGAGCAACCAAUGCAGGAAGUCCAAGGCCUGGCCAGGUUUUACCAUUUUCAAAUAAGACCCGUUUGCCUCUAACCCUGGUUUCCUGAAUCGCAACCCUUUGUGAUGGAAACUUGCUUUUUACAGUGCAGAAGGCAGACACUGGGGACAAAGUUGUAUUUCUGCCAUGGCAAGGAUCUUGGCCCACAGGCAAAGGAAACAGCUGAUGCCUCAUACCACCACCUCCCUUCCUCUCUGAAGGCCGGGUCCCACCUGGGACAGGGGAGGGCCUCCGUCGCUGCUGCCUGAAUCAGAGGGAACUUGGAGCUGCCUGGGGGAUCAGCGCCAAGUUUGGAGCAGAACAUCCUAUGAUGUGGUUCCUAGUUUUUAUUUCCACGAAUGCUAUAAUAUGUUGUCCCACCGAGCUAUUUUUAUUGAAUGGAAAAA
rnacentral:lncRNA from 1 species